rnacentral:rRNA from 1 species
GACGAACGCUGGCGGCGUGCUUAACACAUGCAAGUCGAACGGAAAGGCCCUGCCUUUGUGGGGUGCUCGAGUGGCGAACGGGUGAGUAACACGUGAGUAACCUGCCCCUGACUUUGGGAUAACUUCUGGAAACUGGGGCUAAUACCGGAUAGGAGCUCCUGCUGCAUGGUGGGGGUCGGAAAGUUUCGGCGGUUGGGGAUGGACUCGCGGCUUAUCAGCUUGUUGGUGGGGUAGUGGCUUACCAAGGCUUCGACGGGUAGCCGGCCUGAGAGGGUGACCGGCCACAUUGGGACUGAGAUACGGCCCAGACUCCUACGGGAGGCAGCAGUGGGGAAUAUUGCACAAUGGGCGGAAGCCUGAUGCAGCAACGCCGCGUGCGGGAUGACGGCCUUCGGGUUGUAAACCGCUUUCGCCUGUGACGAAGCGUAAGUGACGGUAACGGGUAAAGAAGCACCGGCUAACUACGUG